UGGGGAAUUUUGGACAAUGGGCGAAAGCCUGAUCCAGCAAUGCCGCGUGUGUGAAGAAGGCCUUCGGGUUGUAAAGCACUUUUGUCCGGAAAGAAAUCCUUGGCUCUAAUACAGUCGGGGGAUGACGGUACCGGAAGAAUAAGCACCGGCUAACUACGUGCCAGCAGCCGCGGUAAUACGUAGGGUGCAAGCGUUAAUCGGAAUUACUGGGCGUAAAGCGUGCGCAGGCGGUUUGCUAAGACCGAUGUGAAAUCCCCGGGCUCAACCUGGGAACUGCAUUGGUGACUGGCAGGCUAGAGUAUGGCAGAGGGGGGUAGAAUUCCACGUGUAGCAGUGAAAUGCGUAGAGAUGUGGAGGAAUACCGAUGGCGAAGGCAGCCCCCUGGGCCAAGUACUGACGCUCAUGCACGAAAAGCGUGGGGAGCAAACAGGAUUAAUACCCUGGUAGUCCACGCCCUAAANGAUGUCAACUAGUUGUUGGGGAUUCAUUUCCUUAGUAACGUAGCUAACGCGUGAAGUUGACCGCCUGGGGAGUACGGUCGCAAGAUUAAAACUCAAAGAA
rnacentral:rRNA from 1 species